GAUGAACGCUGGCGGCGUGCCUAAUACAUGCAAGUCGAACGCACAGCGAAAGGUGCUUGCACCUUUCAAGUGAGUGGCGAACGGGUGAGUAACACGUGGAUAACCUACCUCAAGGUUGGGGAUAACAUUUGGAAACAGAUGCUAAUACCGAAUAAAACUUAGUAUCGCAUGAUACCAGGUUAAAAGGCGCUACGGCGUCACCUAGAGAUGGAUCCGCGGUGCAUUAGUUAGUUGGUGGGUAAAGGCGUUACCAAGACAAUGAUGCAUAGCCGAGUUGAGAGACUGAUCGGCACAUGGACUGAGACACGGCCCAAACUCCUACGGAGGCUGCAGUAGGGAA
rnacentral:rRNA from 1 species